GACGAACGCUGGCGGCGUGCUUAACACAUGCAAGUCGAACGGAAAGGCCCUUCGGUGUUCGCGUGUUCGGAUGGCGAGCGGAUGACUAACACGUGCUGCCCCUGCCCUUCGCUUAGGGAUAGGCCACGGGGACUAGUUCUGAUACCGGCUACGAGCUCCUUGUGGUGUGUGGGGAGGAUAUUUCGUCGGGGUGGGGUGGCGCCGCCGCUUAUCUGGUUGUUGGUGGGGUAGUGGACUACCAAGGCGUCGACGGGUCGCCGGCCGGGGGGGGGGACCGGCCACAUUGGGACUGAGAUACGGCCCAGACUCCAACGGGAGGAAGCAGUGGGGAAUAUUGCACAAUGGGCGAAAGCCUGAUGCAGGGACGCCGCGUGGGGGAUGACGGCCUUCGGGUUGUAACCCCCUUUCAAUGGGGACGAAGCGUAAGUGACGGUACCUAGAGAAGAAGCACCGGCUAACUACGUG
rnacentral:rRNA from 1 species